AGGGGUUUGAUGUCUGGCUCAGAACGAACGCUGGCGGCGCGUCUUAAGCAUGCAAGUCGAGCGGCAAGGGGUGCUUGCACCCCCUAGAGCGGCGGACUGGUGAGUAACGCGUGGAUAAUCUGCCUUGUGGCCGGGGAUAGCCGUUAGAAAUAGCGGGUAAUACCGGAUAAGUUCAUUUAGUGAUGACUAGAUGAGGAAAGGGGCUACGGCCCCGCCAUAAGAUGAGUCCGCGUCCCAUUAGCUAGUUGGCGGGGUAAAGGCCCACCAAGGCGAAGAUGGGUAGCCGGCCUGAGAGGGUGAACGGCCACAUUGGGACUGAGAUACGGCCCAAACUCCUACGGGAGGCAGCAGCUAAGAAUAUUCCGCAAUGGACGAGAGUCUGACGGAGCGACGCCGCGUGGAUGAGGAAGGCCGAAAGGUUGUAAAAUCCUUUUGCAGAUGAAGAAUAAGGGCUGUAGGGAAUGAUAGCCUGAUGACGUUAGUCUGUGAAUAAGCCCCGGCUAAUUACGUGCCAGCAGCCGCGGUAACACGUAAGGGGCGAGCGUUGUUCGGAAUUAUUGGGCGUAAAGGGCGCGUAGGCGGCCCUGU
rnacentral:rRNA from 1 species